rnacentral:antisense_RNA from 1 species
CGGGCAGCGUUCGACACCCGCUCUAGUUGACUUCCGG